UACGGAGGGUGCAAGCGUUAUCCGGAAUCAUUGGGUUUAAAGGGUCCGCAGGCGGUCUUAUAAGUCAGUGGUGAAAUCUCUCAGCUUAACUGAGAAACUGCCAUUGAUACUAUAGGACUUGAAUGUGGUCGAAGUGGGCGGAAUAUGACAUGUAGCGGUGAAAUGCAUAGAUAUGUCAUAGAACACCGAUAGCGAAGGCAGCUCACUAGGCCAUAAUUGACGCUCAUGGACGAAAGCGUGGGGAGCAAACAGG
rnacentral:rRNA from 1 species